rnacentral:rRNA from 1 species
AGCAGCCGCGGUAAUUCCAGCUCCAAUAGCGUAUAUUAAAGUUGUUGCAGUUAAAAAGCUCGUAGUUGAAUUUCGGGAUCAAUAUGUCGGUCGUGCCUUCGGUACGUACUGGUAUCAUUGGUUUCUCCUUUCUGACGAAUCAUGAUGUCAUUAAUUUGGUGUUAUGGGGAGUUAGGACUGUUACUUUGAAAAAAUUAGAGUGUUUAAAGCAGGCUUUAGCUUGAAUACAUUAGCAUGGAAUAAUGAAAUAGGACGUUCGAACCUAUUUUGUUGGUUUCUAGGAUCAACGUAAUGAUUAAUAGGGAUAGUUGGGGGCAUUAGUAUUCAAUUGUCAGAGGUGAAAUUCUUGGAUUUAUUGAAGACUAACUACUGCGAAAGCAUUUGCCAAGGAUGUUUUCAUUAAUCAAGAACGAAAGUUAGGGGAUCGAAGACGAUCAGAUACCGUCGUAGUCUUAACCAUAAACUAUGCCGACUAGGGAUCGGAUGAUGUUAUUUUUAAUGACUCAUUCGGCGCCUUACG